rnacentral:rRNA from 1 species
CCCUUAGAUGUUCUGGGCCGCACGCGCGCUACACUGAUGCAUUCAACGAGUUUUGUUUGUUCCUUGGCCGAGAGGCCUGGGCAAUCUUUUGAACUUGCAUCGUGAUAGGGAUAGAUUAUUGCAAUUAUUAAUCUUGAACGAGGAAUUCCUAGUAAACGCAGAUCAUCAAUCUGCAUUGAUUACGUCCCUGCCCUUUGUACACACCGCCCGUCGCACCUACCGAUUGAAUGGUCCGGUGAAGCCUCGGGAUUGUGGUUGGUUUCCUUUAUUGGAGAUUGAUUGCGAGAACUUGUCUAAACCUUGUCAUUUAGAGGAAGGUGAAGUCGUAACA